rnacentral:lncRNA from 1 species
CGGAUGUUAGAGCAGUUCAUUUUUAAAAGAGCAAUUUUUUUUUUCCCUGUAGGGAAAACAGGAAAGGCUGCCAAACACUUCCAUGAACAAAGUGCCCUCGGCCUUGUUUCAAGCUGGUCUCAGGAGAGUGUUAAAUCCUUUGUGCUGCAGGGACUUGGCACAGAAACCAGAGACUGCAUCAUGCAAUCUAAAAUAGUGGACUGCCACAAGGAAAGACCCUUGCAGAAACUUCCUGGGAUCUGCUUCAUCUAAUCUAAUCCCUCAUUUGAAGAAGGAAAGAAAAUGUAAAUCUCGUCUUUGUUUCCAGUUAUUUAAAUUGCAGCCAAAAAAAGUGGUAUUUGAACCAAUGCAAAAAAAAAGAUAACUUGCCUUAGACUAUAAGAACCAAAACAAAACUCUUGAACCAUACCCCUGGGUGAUUUGUUCUGAGAAAAAGGGCAAAGAGGAAGCAACAUCCUUGGGACCUCACAGGCCUCAGAAGUCCAAAGCUCUGAACGCUGUUUAGCUGCACCCUAACCAGGUCCUAAGGCCAGCUCCUCCUGGUAGGAAAGAUCCUGGUUCUUAAGAUGGCUCUUGCAGGCGUCAACCACAUGGACCAUGGUCUUCUAGUUCAACCAAUAGGCAUUUUCUGACUUCCUAAGGUCUUCAGCCUCCACAGAAAGGAGACAAGAACUCAUCAUGGUGCUACCUGGCUCCCUUUUCCACCACCACUACCAACACCUCAUAAUUGGUCUUCUCCCACCUGUAAAAGCUGCCAUGUACCAGGCUGGCAUUUUUAAUGAUUAUCUGAUGUUUACAUCUAAAUAAAAGAAAUCCUGGGCUGGGCCUGGGGCUCAGCGGUAGCACACUUGCCU